AGAGUUUGAUCCUGGCUCACGACGAACGCUGGCGGCGUGCUUAACACAUGCAAGUCGAACGAUGAUCCGGUUUCGGCCGGGGAUUAGUGGCGAACGGGUGAGUAACACGUGGGCAAUCUGCCCUGCACUCUGGGACAAGCCUUGGAAACGGGGUCUAAUACCGGAUAUUACUGCCAUGGGCAUCUGUGGUGGUGGAAAGCGUUUAGUGGUGCAGGAUGAGCCCGCGGCCUAUCAGCUUGUUGGUGGGGUGAUGGCCUACCAAGGCGACGACGGGUAGCCGGCCUGAGAGGGCGACCGGCCACACUGGGACUGAGACACGGCCCAGACUCCUACGGGAGGCAGCAGUGGGGAAUAUUGCACAAUGGGCGGAAGCCUGAUGCAGCGACGCCGCGUGAGGGAUGACGGCCUUCGGGCUGUAAACCUCUUUCAGCAGGGAAGAAGCGAGAGUGACGGUACCUGCAGAAGAAGCACCGGCUAACUACGUG
rnacentral:rRNA from 1 species